rnacentral:rRNA from 1 species
CCUACGGGAGGCAGCAGUGGGGAAUAUUGGACAAUGGGGGCAACCCUGAUCCAGCCAUGCCGCGUGUGUGAAGAAGGCCAUCGGGUUGUAAAGCACUUUCAGUGAGGAAGAACGCCUGGUGGUUAAUACCCAUCAGGAAAGACAUCACUCACAGAAGAAGCACCGGCUAACUCCGUGCCAGCAGCCGCGGUAAUACGGAGGGUGCGAGCGUUAAUCGGAAUUACUGGGCGUAAAGCGCGCGUAGGUGGCUUGAUAAGCCGGUUGUGAAAGCCCCGGGCUCAACCUGGGAACGGCAUCCGGAACUGUCAAGCUAGAGUGCAGGAGAGGAAGGUAGAAUUCCCGGUGUAGCGGUGAAAUGCGUAGAGAUCGGGAGGAAUACCAGUGGCGAAGGCGGCCUUCUGGACUGACACUGACACUGAGGUGCGAAAGCGUGGGUAGCAAACAGGAUUAGAUACCCGUGUAGUC